CCUACGGGAGGCAGCAGUGAGGAAUAUUGGUCAAUGGGCGGGAGCCUGAACCAGCCAAGCCGCGUGAGGGAAGAAGGUACAGCGUAUCGUAAACCUCUUUUGUCAGGGAACAAAGGCGGGGACUAGUCCCCGGAUGAGGGUACCUGAAGAAAAAGCAUCGGCUAACUCCGUGCCAGCAGCCGCGGUAAUACGGAGGAUGCGAGCGUUAUCCGGAUUUAUUGGGUUUAAAGGGUGCGCAGGCGGCCUGUUAAGUCAGCGGUAAAAGCCCGGGGCUCAACCCCGGCGAGCCGUUGAAACUGGCGGGCUGGAGUUGGAGAGAAGUACGCGGAAUGCGCGGUGUAGCGGUGAAAUGCUUAGAUAUCGCGCAGAACCCCGAUUGCGAAGGCAGCGUACCGGCUCCACACUGACGCUGAGGCACGAAAGCAUGGGUAGCGAACAGGAUUAGAUACCCCAGUAGUC
rnacentral:rRNA from 1 species